rnacentral:rRNA from 1 species
CCUACGGGGGGGCAGCAGUGGGGAAUUUUCCGCAAUGGGCGAAAGCCUGACGGAGCAAGACCGCGUGGGGGAAGAAGGCUCUUGGGUUGUAAACUCCUUUUCUCUGGGAAGAACAAAAUGACGGUACCAGAGGAAUCAGCAUCGGCUAACUCCGUGCCAGCAGCCGCGGUAAGACGGAGGAUGCAAGCGUUAUCCGGAAUGAUUGGGCGUAAAGCGUCCGCAGGUGGCAGUUCAAGUCUGCUGUCAAAGACCGGGGCUCAACCUCGGAAAGGCAGUGGAAACUGAACAGCUAGAGUAUGGUAGGGGCAAAGGGAAUUCCUGGUGUAGCGGUGAAAUGCGUAGAGAUCAGGAAGAACAUCGGUGGCGAAGGCGCUUUGCUGGACCAUAACUGACACUCAGGGACGAAAGCUAGGGGAGCGAAUGGGAUUAGAUACCCCAGUAGUC